UACGUAGGGCGCAAGCGUUGUCCGGAAUUAUUGGGCGUAAAGAGCUCGUAGGCGGUUUGUCGCGUCUGCUGUGAAAACCUAAGGCUCAACCUUGGGCUUGCAGUGGGUACGGGCAGACUAGAGUGCGGUAGGGGUGACUGGAAUUCCUGGUGUAGCGGUGGAAUGCGCAGAUAUCAGGAGGAACACCGAUGGCGAAGGCAGGUCACUGGGCCGCAACUGACGCGUGAGGCAACGAAGGUCAGGGGAGCAAACGGG
rnacentral:rRNA from 1 species